rnacentral:rRNA from 1 species
UCGAAACCUGCACAAGCAGAAAGACCCGCGAACACGGUUACAACCACCGGGGGGGCGACGCUCGGCCAAACACCGGCGACGUCACCCCGAAACCAACAAACCCCGGGGCGGAUUGCGCCAAGGACCAUGAACAAUAGCGCGUCCCACGCCCCUCGGUUGCCCGAAGUGCGCGUGGGGCGACGUGUCGUUUCGAUACAUUAGAACGACUCUCGGCAACGGAUAUCUCGGCUCUCGCAUCGAUGAAGAACGUAGCGAAAUGCGAUACUUGGUGUGAAUUGCAGAAUCCCGUGAACCAUCGAGUCUUUGAACGCAAGUUGCGCCCGAAGCCUUCGGGCCAAGGGCACGUCUGCCUGGGCGUCACGCACCGCGUCGCCCCCCACCCCAACACAAGGGCUGUGGGGGCGGACUUUGGCCCCCCGUGCGCUCCCCGCUCGCGGUCGGCCUAAACAAAGACCCCGUGGCCGCGAAGAGCCGCGACGAUUGGUGGUUUACUCGUGGCCCAGUGCCCCGAGCAUCGCGUCGUGGCCUCGGCGGCCCACGGGAGCUCAAAGGACCCAGAGGAGGAACCCCGUCACCCCGAGUGCCGUGGGGACCUCCCAACCGUU